UCAAAAGACAAAAGUAUCGUUCUAUUUUAUUUAUCAACCAAACUACACAUUCAAGCAUGUUUUUUAUCCAAGUCCAAUCAAGUAUUUAAAUUCAAUGUGUGAGUUUUCUAGCUACAGUCAGUGAGCAAUGUGCAGAUAGAACCCAUUUUUGUGCAAAUUGAUAGGCUGGAUUUGGUUCUAAAGGAGAAUUCUGAUUAUAAAAGGCCGCCCGAGAAUCAUGCUAGCAUCACGCCAUCAAGUGCCUCUUCAAGGGGUAGUGGUUAUGGUUUUGCUGAUAAGAUAUCCGAUGGAAUGACUAUACAAAUUCAAACAGUUAAUUUAUUACUUGAAACUCAUGGGGGUGCUCGUCCCCAAGGGGGAGCAGCAUGGGCACCCCGCCUAUGGCAUCUGUCAGCAUCGGCAAUUUGUUGCUGUAUACCACAAAUGAUAGCUGGGAGGUAAUUAUGUCUCGGCUCGUGCUUACAAUUAAUUUGGGACACUUGGUAUAAAUAUUUUCCGUUUGCAUUAUCAGGUUGUAAAUCUUAAGGAGGCAAGGGAAUUCUCAAGUAAUACGAAGUAUAUAUAUGUAUUCAAAGUACUGCAUUACGCCUUUCAUUUUAUAUCUUAUGUGUGUAUGACCGAUAUUGGGAUAAAUUACCUUCUAAAUAUUGAUAUUCAAUGUCAUCUCUAUCCAUUCAUUGGUAUUUCUCACUAUGUAUAAAUUCUUAU